UAGGGAAUCUUCGGCAAUGGACGAAAGUCUGACCGAGCAACGCCGCGUGAGUGAAGAAGGUUUUCGGAUCGUAAAACUCUGUUGUUAGAGAAGAACAAGGACGUUAGUAACUGAACGUCCCCUGACGGUAUCUAACCAGAAAGCCACGGCUAACUACGUGCCAGCAGCUGCGGUAAUACGUAGGUGGCAAGCGUUGUCCGGAUUUAUUGGGCGUAAAGCGAGCGCAGGCGGUUUCUUAAGUCUGAUGUGAAAGCUCCCGGCUCAACCGGGGAGGGUCAUUGGAAACUGGGAGACUUGAGUGCAGAAGAGGAGAGUGGAAUUCCAUGUGUAGCGGUGAAAUGCGUAGAUAUAUGGAGGAACACCAGUGGCGAAGGCGGCUCUCUGGUCUGUAACUGACGCUGAGGCUCGAAAGCGUGGGGAGCAAACAGG
rnacentral:rRNA from 1 species